rnacentral:rRNA from 1 species
GAUGAACGCUAGCGGCAGGCUUAACACAUGCAAGUCGAGGGGCAGCACAGGUAGCAAUACUGGGUGGCGACCGGCGCACGGGUGCGUAACGCGUAUACAAUUUACCUUUUACUAGGGGAUAGCCCAGAGAAAUUUGGAUUAAUACCUCAUAGUAUUAUGAAUUGGCAUCGAUUUAUAAUUAAAGUUCCAACGGUACAAGAUGAGCAUGCGUCCCAUUAGUUAGUUGGUAAGGUAACGGCUUACCAAGACAAUGAUGGGUAAGGGGUCCUGAGAGGGAGAUCCCCCACACUGGUACUGAGACACGGACCAGACUCCUACGGGUGGCAG